rnacentral:rRNA from 1 species
AUUGAACGCUGGCGGCAUGCCUUACACAUGCAAGUCGAACGGCAGCACGGGGGCAACCCUGGUGGCGAGUGGCGAACGGGUGAGUAACGCAUCGGAAUGUACCCAGUAGUGGGGGAUAACUAGUCGAAAGAUUAGCUAAUACCGCAUACGCACUGAGGUGGAAAGCGGGGAUCGCAAGACCUCGCGCUAUUGGAGCAGCCGAUGUCCGAUUAGGUAGUUGGUGGGGUAAAGGCCUACCAAGCCUGCGAUCGGUAACUGGUCUGAGAGGACGACCAGUCACACUGGGACUGAGACACGGCCCAGACUCCUACGGGAGGCAGCAGUGGGGAAUUUUGGACAAUGGGCGCAAGCCUGAUCCAGCAAUGCCGCGUGU